GGGAGGUAGUGACAAUAAAUAACAAUACAGGGUUCUUUUGGACCUUGUAAUUGGAAUGAGUACAAUUUAAAUCUCUUAACGAGGAACAAUUGGAGGGCAAGUCUGGUGCCAGCAGCCGCGGUAAUUCCAGCUCCAAUAGCGUAUAUUAAAGUUGUUGCAGUUAAAAAGCUCGUAGUUGAAUUUCGGGAUCAAUUUAUCGGUCGUGCCAAUGGUAUGAACUGGUACAAUUGGUUUCUCCCUUCUGAAGAACCAUGAUGUCAUUAAUUUGGUGUUGUGGGGAAUCAGGACUGUUACUUUGAAAAAAUUAGAGUGUUUAAAGCAGGCUUAGGCUUGAAUACAUUAGCAUGGAAUAAUGAAAUAGGACGCUUUGAUCCUAUUUCGUUGGUUUCUAGGAUCGACGUAAUGAUUAAUAGGGAUAGUUGGG
rnacentral:rRNA from 1 species